UCAGUCAGAGAAGAGAAAGUCCCACUGAGAAAAUGGAGUCCACCAGUUUUCUCUGAGUUCAGAGGAGCUAUCCAGACAUGGUGACCAUAAAUCGGAACUCUGUGGAAGAGGUGGCAGAAAGAGAGUUAAAGCCAGAGGGCAUGGAGGACACCAGAAGUAGGAGACCCUCUGAGUCACUUGAGUAAGGCUCUUAUGAAUUCAGAGAAAAAUGAGGCAACAACCACAAGUGCAUGGAGAUUCGCAAGUGCCUACCACCGUGCCUCUCCCAUCAUUCUUAGCUCAUCCAC